rnacentral:rRNA from 1 species
UACGGAGGGGGCUAGCGUUGUUCGGAAUUACUGGGCGUAAAGCGCACGUAGGCGGCUUUGCAAGUUAGAGGUGAAAGCCCGGGGCUCAACUCCGGAAUUGCCUUUAAGACUGCAUCACUUGAACACGGGAGAGGUGAGUGGAAUUCCGAGUGUAGAGGUGAAAUUCGUAGAUAUUCGGAAGAACACCAGUGGCGAAGGCGGCUCACUGGACCGUUGUUGACGCUGAGGUGCGAAAGCGUGGGGAGCAAACAGG